rnacentral:rRNA from 1 species
UACGUAGGGAGCAAGCGUUGUCCGGAUUUACUGGGCGUAAAGCGCGCGUAGGCGGUCUGUUAAGUGUGAAGUGAAAUCUCCAGAGCUCAACUCGGAAACUGCUUCGCAUACUGGCAGACUUGAGGGAGGAAGAGGCAGAUAGAAUUCCCGGUGUAGCGGUGACAUGCUUUGAUAUCGGGAGGAAUACCAAUGGCGAAGGCAGUCUGCUGGUCCUUUUCUGACGCUGAGGUGCGAAAGCGUGGGUAGCAAACAGAAUUAGAUACUCUGGUAGUCCACGCCCUAAACGAUGGAUGCUAGGCGUAUGGGGUAUCGACCCCCUAUGUGCCGCAGCUAACUCAUUAAGCAUCCCGCCUGAGUAGUACGGCCGCAAGGUUGAA